rnacentral:other from 1 species
ACCGGCCUGCAAAGCAGGUGGGGGAACAACGUCGGUUGAACCAACAUUCAUUGAACAGGGGUUCGGCUCGUAUACAUGGUUCGGUGUGCAGUGUCCGCCAGUCCGGAAUGCCUAAAGAGCCACGGCUGAAUCCCACCGCUUAUUGGCGGGUUCACCGGCGCUUCCAACACGGCCCAGCGGGUCGGUC